rnacentral:rRNA from 1 species
UACGUAGGCAGCGAGCGUUGUUCGGAAUUACUGGGCGUAAAGAGUGUGUAGGCGGUGCUCUAAGUUCGGGGUGAAAUCUCCCGGCUUAACUGGGAGGGUGCGCCGGAAACUGGAAUGCUCGAACGUGGGAGAGGAAAGCGGAAUUCCUGGUGUAGCGGUGAAAUGCGUAGAUAUCAGGAGGAACACCUGCGGUGUAGACGGCUUUCUGGACCAUUGUUGACGCUGAGACACGAAAGCGUGGGUAGCAAACAGG